UAUUGGAGCGGCCGAUGUCAGAUUAGGUAGUUGGUGGGGUAAAGGCCUACCAAGCCGACGAUCUGUAGCUGGUCUGAGAGGACGACCAGCCACACUGGGACUGAGACACGGCCCAGACUCCUACGGGAGGCAGCAGUGGGGAAUUUUGGACAAUGGGCGCAAGCCUGAUCCAGCCAUGCCGCGUGCGGGAAGAAGGCCUUCGGGUUGUAAACCGCUUUUGUCAGGGAAGAAACGCU
rnacentral:rRNA from 1 species